AAAUGAAUAAAAACUAUAGUCAAAUACUGGGAUUUAAAGAGAGUAAGUGGUAUAACUUAUAUUAAUUAAUUAAUUAACAACUAGAAAAGUUAUUUUUUAAACCAUCCUUUCUUUAGCAAUACCUACCUCUCAACAGAUCCAAAAACCUAAAUAAAAAUUGUAAAAGUCUGUAGUAUCUCUAGCCCAAUCUAUAGCUACGUAUUCUGGUCUUGUCUCUCUGCACCCAACUAAAAAUGUUUCAGUUCUGAGAUAUUUUGUCUCUUCUGGGAAAGUCCAGUUACCUCAACCAGCCAAGAUUAUAAACUAUUUGCAUUUCACAUUACAGUGAAGCUUCAGGAUACAGUGAAGGGAUCCUGAAGAAAUACUGAAUUUACAGUACCAUAGAAUGAAAAAAGAAAACCACAAGGAAAAGUCUCCAAAUGUUUUGAAGAGAAGUCAGAUAUCUGGCCUCAGGAACAAAGGCAUCUGGACCAACUAUGAGAAGAAAACCAAAAUGUCCCUUCCUUUGACCAAGGGUAACUCAAGUACGAUGGUCUAGUCAACCACCGAUUCUUCUGUCUGUGACCUCAGCCUGACUGUGUGAGUAAUUGAUGCUUAAUCCUUCCUUAAGGAACCAAUUAAUGUACCAGUGAAGCAUGAGCCCCAAAACAUGAGAUGCAGGAGUGGAUUACUGCACUAGUUUAUCAAGCAUACAAAAGAAUGACCUUUAGACUUGGAAAGGACAAUGAAAAUGUCUAAUAAGGAAUCGAUCCCCAAGGAGUUCUCAUUUUGGGAGUUCUUCCAGGAGCUCAAGAGUGGAUUCUUUCAAUUUCUAUUUUACUCUCUGGAUACAAGAUAUCAGACUGUAUGUUCCUUGAGUGUUGAAACCAGAUCUUAUCUUUCUUGAGUCCCCCACAACAACUAAAAUGGAUCAGCCACAAAAGAAUGUUCAAGAAGUACUCUUUAAGUUGAAUUGAGUUGUACUGAAGCAAAGCCCAGCCUUUCUAGAGACUCUAAGACAAUGUUCACUCCGAAAGACAACACUCUCAGUUCUCAUCACUGCUCAAGCUUCAGGCUCACAUCUCUAACUACCUAUUGAACUGGAUAUUGCUCUCUGUAUGUCAUGACAAUGCACCAGUUAACAUAAAGGAUUAUAAGUGUGACUGAAGUCAUUUUUAAGGUAUGUUAAUAAAACUGGAUUUUACUUUUACUUCCCUUUAUCCCCAAAUGCAAAUCAGUUGCUAAGUUCUGUGGAUUCUACCUUGGACAUUGUGUUCAUGUUUUCCCUCUCUUAUCUACUCCCUCUGCUGCCAACUUUGUGCAGGCUUUUACAACCUCUCACUUACGGUAUUGCAGUAACUCCUUAACUGUUCUUCUUGUUGCCAGGUUCAGCAUUCUCUAAUCUAACCUUUUCAGACAUGUCAAAACAAUCUUUGAAGUUCACAAUUGUGACCACUUCACACACUUAGCUCUCCAUUGCCUACCAAAUAAAUACAAGUGUGUGAGCCUAGAACUUUAAGAAAAUCCCAAGCUGAUGCUAACCUCUUUCUGACUUUGUUUCAUAGUAAUCCCCUUUGUGUAUACCAAUCUCAUACCAAACUGUACUAAAUUCUGUUUAUAUUUGGAUUUUUUGUUUCAUUUUUUAAAAGAGGAGCUAGUUCAUGACCCCAUUAUCUGUUUUAUACACUUAUAAUGCAUUACAUUCUUUGGUUAUUAAGUGCUCUAUUUUUUAAUUAACCCUAUGCUAAGAAUAAAAAUACAUGGAGCUCAUUCUAGAAUGUGUCUGUUUGGGAAGAACUAACUCUGCUAUACCAAUGUCAUUUGUCUAGGAUACAUUGAUAUAUUAGUUUAAAAGAAGAUAGAAAAGUUAAAAGAAGUAGAAGAGUUAUAAUACUGCAUCCUCUUAGACCCAGCAAUAACACUAUUACAUCUGCUUCCCAAGGUGAUCAGGAGAAAAGGGAAAGAAUCUAUACAUUCUAAAAUAUUUAUAUCAGCUCUCAUUAUAGUGACAAAGAACUGGAAAUUGAGGAGACGCCCAUCAAUUGAGGAAUGACUAAAACACUGUGGCAUGACUAUGAUGAAAAAUACUAAUUUGCAGUAAGAAAUGACAAGCAGGUAAAUUUUUGAAAAACAUGGAAAGACCUACAUGAAAUUAUGAAGAAUAACUGUGAAUGUCUGCCUCCAGAGAAAAAACUGAU